AUUGAACGCUGGCGGCAGGCCUAACACAUGCAAGUCGAGCGGAUGAAGGGAGCUUGCUCCUGGAUUCAGCGGCGGACGGGUGAGUAAUGCCUAGGAAUCUGCCUGGUAGUGGGGGAUAACGUCCGGAAACGGGCGCUAAUACCGCAUACGUCCUGAGGGAGAAAGUGGGGGAUCUUCGGACCUCACGCUAUCAGAUGAGCCUAGGUCGGAUUAGCUAGUUGGUGGGGUAAAGGCCGACCAAGGCGACGAUCCGUAACUGGUCUGAGAGGAUGAUCAGUCACACUGGAACUGAGACACGGUCCAGACUCCUACGGGAGGCAGCAGUGGGGAAUAUUGGACAAUGGGCGAAAGCCUGAUCCAGCCAUGCCGCGUGUGUGAAGAAGGUCUUCGGAUUGUAAAGCACUUUUAGUUGGGAGGAAGGGCAGUAAGUUAAUACCUUGCUGUUUUGACGUUACCAACAGAAUAAGCACCGGCUAACUUCGUG
rnacentral:rRNA from 1 species